rnacentral:lncRNA from 1 species
CAAACUCUUUCAAAAAAAUACAAUUUUUUUAUGAAAUAAGGAGUGCGAGCUCGCACUCUAACAAUUCAAAAAGUACUUAAACUAAACCACCAUUUCUUUCCACGCUAGAUGAGGGUGAGUUGCUCUACAUUUACCUCGCUGUCUCUGAACAUGCCGCUAGCUCGAUACUCUUAAGAGAGGUAGAUUGAGAGCAACACCCAAUCUACUUUGUUAGCAAAACAUUUACGGAUUUCCAAAUAAGGUACUUGACGCUGGAGAAGCUCGUUCUGACCUUGAUCUUAACCUCGCGAAAACUCAUGCACUACUUUCAAGCACAUCCCAUCAUUGUGUAUAUAGAUUUUUUGCUCAAAAAUAUUUUAUCAAAGGCAAAUUUAUUCAUCCGACUUUCCGAAUGGGCUGUCAAGCUCGGACAAUCAGAUAUAAAAUUAUUGCUGAGGGCGAUAAUAAAAAGGGCAUGUCUUGACAGAUUUUGUGGCGAAGUUCUCUCCCUGAGCUGUGAGUCCAUAUCAAGGUUGCCUUGUAUCUGCACAUAUAAGGGAAGAGAGCUCAGAGGUAGGACCCUUCCAAACUCAAUUAGUACCCUAGGAUCAGGAGGUUAUUCGAGAACCACCCCAAGACGAAGAAAUGAUUGACGUUGGCGAGAUGGAUAGGGUCCCAGAGGUUAUUGUAGAACCACCCCAAAUCGUUCUCACCUCGACUUGGAAAAUGUUUGUGUAUAGGGCUAAAAAUAGCCUGGGUGCAAGAGUAGGUGUAGUCUUGAAAAGCUCGAAAGAAGCAAUUUUUGAACAUUGUCACAGAUUAAAUUCCCUGCAACAAAUAACGAAGCCUUCAUUGUGGGACUCCAGUCCACUAGCAAACUAAAGGUUGACUCAAAAUUGGUGGUCAACCAAGUCAUAGAAAAAUUUGAAACUCGUGGGGCCAAGAUGGCUAAGUAUUUGGUAGUGGCGAAGAAACUACUCACCGGAUUUAGAGGAGUAAAAAUCGAGCAAGUGCGGAGGGACUUAAAUUCACACGCAGACGAACUGACGGGUUUGGCAUCAAUUUUUAAAGGAUAAAUAUGUUGGACCAUCGCAGUUGAUUUGAUCUCGCCCCUAAGUCAUGAAAUGCCUCAAGAUUCCAUCUUAGUCAACACUGAACUGGGGCCGAGCUGGAUGGAUCCAAUUGUGAAUUAUUUGUAACAUGACAAGCUACUAGAGGACAAGAGGGAGGCGCACAACCUAUGAAUAAAGGCAGCGUGGUUCUGGAUUUUCCUUAUUGGAGACUUGUACAAAAGAUCAUACCUGAGACCCAAGCUUGGUUGAAGAUGUACUUUUUGAAAUCCACGAAGACAUGUGUGGACUGCACUCCAGAGGAAGAUCAUUAGCCCACCAAGCCUUGACCCAAGGAUAUUGGUAGCCAUACAUGCAGAAAGAUAUCCAGGUGUAUGUCCGCAAAUACACCAAAUGCCAUCUCUUUUCUCCUCUGAUCCAUCAUCCAGCAAGGGACUUGACUCCUCUCACUAGUCCAUGGCCAUUUGGCAAGUGGGGAAUGGAUAUCGUGGGGGUCUUGCCCCAAGCUCCAAGUAACAAGAAGUUUUUGUCGGUAGUUACAGACUACUUCACGAAAUGGGCUGAGGCCGAACCAUUAUCCCAAAUAAAGGAGGCAGAUGUGAUCACAUUCGUCCGCAUAAAUAUUAUGUCUAGGUUUGGCAUCUCAAAGCUUUCGUAUCAAACAACGGGACUCAGUUUGUGGAAAAAAGUUAAAGACUUGUUGGAACAACUGAAGAUCAAAUUUUAUAAUUCAACGCCUAGCUACUCGCAGUGCAAUGGGCAAGCCGAGGCCACCAACAAGACGAUCAUGAACGGAUUCAAGAAGAGGCUUGAAAAAGCCAAAGGCAAAUGGAUUGAGGAGCUUCCAAAUAUUUUGUGGCCUACCGGACCAUACGGCGGAAAGCAACGAAUGAAAUGCCUUAUUCCUUGACUCUCGGAUUCAAAGUUGUAAUCCUGCUGGAGGUUGGUUUGCCCACAAUACGGACCGAAGCAUACGACGUCAGUCACAAUAAAAAAGUCUUGGCUCGAGACCUCAACCUCGCUGAUGAAAGAAGGGAGAAUGCACUUAUAUGAAUGGCUAACUAUCAAAAAUAAUUAGCCAAAACAUAUAACCAGAAGGUCCAACACAGACAAUUUUCAGUCGGAUACCUUGUUCUGAGAAAAGUUAUUGGAAACACUAAGGACCCGGCAGAUAGAAAGCUCGACCCAAAUUGGGAAGGACCCUACAAGACAAUCAACCUCGCUGGCAGGGUGCUUACCACCUCGAAGAUCAUGAAGAUAAACAAGUUCCGAGACUUUGGAAUUCUAACAACUUGAGAAAGUACUACCACUAAAAUAUAAUUUUUUUCUGACCAAGCUGAAAUCUAUAUCAAAUAUAUUUGUAAAAGCUGUGUCAUAUAAAGAUUUUAUUUUUUGGAGAAGUACAAGGCAAAGCUAGAGAAAAGCUACAACAAUUAGGAAAGAGUUAGCCGAGCUCCAAGCGAGUUCCGAGCUCUGUCCUGCGAGUUUGUUUGAAUAUACUUAGAAAAUUUUCUAAAGAAGGGUUAGCCGAGCUCUAUGCAAACUCCAAGCUCUAUCUCUUGAAAUUUUACAAAAGUAUACUUAGCCAAAAAAAAUUUAUAGGAAAAAGUUAGCCGAGCUCUAUGCAAGUUCCGAGCUCUGUCCUGCGAGUUUGCCUAAAUAUACUUGGCAAAAUUUUUAGGGAAGGGUUAGUCUAGCUAGGACACUGCUGGACGACGGGUUGAAGCUACCUACGCCGCCGUAGAACUGCCGCCGGUGUCUAUCUUCGAUUUCCUUCCUCUCAUUCGUCAAACAUACAACCCCACAUGUUAAAGGAAGGACUACGCUUAGACGGUGGCCACGACCUCCCUUAUUUAACAAAAUUCUAUUUAGGCCGUAUGAAUUUUGAGUAUUUAUAAUAAAACAGGGUAUAUUGGCCCUUGAAAAUUCAAAAAUUUUCCUCUGACCUUCUAAAAUUCGAUAACUUUAAACCCUCAAUAAAAUUUUAAAAAUUUGCUUUCACCUUCCAAAAUUCAAGAGAAUUGUCAUCUUUACCCCCAACAAAAUUCAAAGUGGAAGAUUACUCCUAAAGUAAGCUACCGCUUCUGCUCUCACAAGGGAAUGUGUUCCCUACUUGUUAGAUGAGGUAUUUGAUCCCACCUAGCAGGGAACCUAUCACUAUGUGAAAGGUGGAGUAAGAAUGACGCGUUGCUUCAGGAGCAGUAAAUAAUUUUUCAUGUAAACUCCAAAGAAUAUUUAAACAUAUAAAUACUGGCAGUAGUUUUUUUUUUUUUCAAGCUGUUAGAGAUGUCCGGGUCACUCAUAUCGAUUAAUUCCUUUCUGGGUCCACUCAAAGUUGGUCAUUCACGUCGGGACUAAGGUAUUCUAGGGGUGGAUAUUGGGUGGGUCGGCCGAGCCUACUCCCAAAAUAAUUUCUAUCGGGCCCAAAACCAUCUCCCAAGUCUGCCCACUUUAAAAAAUUACAUUCCUAAGCCCGUCCAAGUCCUCCCAUUUAACAUAAAAUUUGUUUAAUAUAUAAUUUUUUUUUCUUUAUAAAAAUAUUGAAUAACAUAAAAUUUUAUUACAUUUACAUAUAUAUAAUAUUAAAUAUAAAAAAUACUAUUUUAUACAUAUUUCGGGCCGGGCCGGGCUGGCUUGCAAGACAGUUUCUAAGCUUGCCCAUUAAACUAAUCAGACCUAAAAAAAUUCAAAAACCCUAUAAUUUAUGGGUGGGCUUGGGCGAACCUAUCGGACUCUCGGUCCCAUGGCCACCCCUAGGACAAUCACAAGGAAUAAAUUCGUUGCAAUAUACUCUUACACUUGGCAACCGUCGAACCCUUACCGAGUUGGUUGUCUUGCAAUAGUUUGAAGAACAGGGAAUUCAAUAGAGAUGGUCUGUGUUUUUAUUUUUUUAUCUUUUAAACUUUAAACAAAUGAGGAUGUAAUUGUCAAUUCAUACGCCGAUGGUAGGCUGUCCUUUUACCUAAUUGUCAAUUUGGAGUAGCACUGUAUCACAUAAUUUUAUUUUUUUGGGGGGGGAGGGGCAUACCUCACGUAGCGCGCAAGUCAAAUCAUCUGCGAACUCGCAUUGGGCACAGUAAUAAAAUGAUAAAGUUGGGGAUAUGAAUUCAUCGCAAAGAUCGCAGUCUUGCCAGCAGGUAGAUUUAUAGCUUUCAGCAAAAUAGUUGGUUAAGGUGAGGCAAUGCCUGUGAAAUUUUGAUUGAAAGGUAGGCGGCAUCACGGACAUGGUAAACGGCAGCACACAAUGGAUGUCAAGACUGAAAUCGCACUCUUUGCAGCGGAGGAUCGACUGCGAACUUAAUCCCUGACUACAGAAGAGACAAUCGUCCUCUUGGCAAUCAGAAGUUUGCUCUCUGUGGAAAGUAAGAAUAUGUCCCUGAGUUGACCCAUCAGAUAUGCUGCUGCUGGUGUUGGCGGCGGCGGCGGUGUUGGUGGUGGCUCCCUUAACGAUGCACCGAAUGCAUUGAUAGUAGUCGCACCUUUCGCACUGGUAGUUUAUCCCUUUGUGAUCUUCUGAACAUAUGGUGCAAUUGAACGUGCUUGAGCUGUCUGCGAACUCGUAGUUGAGCCAUAGGUAAUGAGAUGGGUGCUUGGAGUGUCGGAUCAUCGGGGGCAGUUCGAGACAAGACUUGUGGAAGAGAAUGGCAUCUUUACAACUUUCUUCGUUGCAAGCGUAGGUUGCAGCCCGGAAUAUCGGUAGGUUGCACCCUGAACAUUUCCUUUUGCUGAUCUCAGGAACGGGGAUCAAUGGAGGAUUCUGGCUGGGAUCUUGAGUAGCGGGAACCAACGGAGGAUUCCGGCGGGGAUCUUGAGGAUCGGGGACGAAGGGAGGAUUCCGCUUGGGAUCUUGAGUAGCAGGGACCAACGGAGGAUUCAAGCUGGGAUCUUGAACGAGAGUGAGAGGAUGUGAUUUGUGACACUGGUGAUUGAUCUUUCCUGGCAAUUCUGCACAUGCUUUAUGAAAGAAAAUUCCGCAUGCAUCAGUUUUAGAGCAACCAUAUAUUGCGUGCUCGAUCGGAUUAGAGCACCCAUGGCAGCAAAGCUCAUCCUUUUUCUCCGGGGGGUUGAGGGCCGUGCUAGAAUCCUUAUCGGCAAAUUUCUCAUGGUAGAAGGUCAUGGGAUGUUCGUGGGCGAAGUAAUAGAGAUGACUUUUUGCAGGAUGCCACUCAACGAAAGUUUGAAUUUCAUUAAACAGGUUUUCAUCACUGAUCAAUUUUUGAGGCUCCAUUUGUGAUCGGUCUCUUCACCUUUAGUGAGGAUCCAUGUAUAAUUCUCUCUUAGUGAGGUCCAAGUAUCAUGUGUAUCAGUAUAUAUAUAUAUAUAUAUAUAUAUAUAUAUAUAUAUAUAUAUAUAUAUAUAUAUAUAUAUAUAUAUAUAUAUGUGGUGGGUGUCACGCAUAUAUAUAUAUAUGUGGUGGGUGUCACGCACUAUGUGCGUGUACUACAUUAUGCCCAAUCACUCUCUUUACCACUAACUUUAACAGUGGGAUCAUAACUAUAAAAAUAGAAAAUCGAACGGAUAAAGGCAUUGAUUCAAUAGUUUAGUGAUUUAACCGUAAUUCAACUGAUAAUACACUAAAUAAAUAAUAAAAAUUUAUUUAAAUAAAAAUAAAUGUUAAAAAAUUAUUAAUGGGUUAAAUGAUACUCACUUUUAUACAAUGACUCCAACCAAGUAUAAAAAUAAAUUCUUAUAAGAAAAAAUAUUUUUUAAAAAAGUAUUUUUGAAAACAUUCAAAAUGACUUUUUUCUCCCAAAUUUAAUAUCAUUUGUUCUACUGCCCAUUGGUAUUUUUUCCCAUCUCUUUCUUCCUUUUUCUUUGUUCUCUUUUUGGUUUUAGUUUAAAGUUUUUACUUAUUGAUUUAGUUUUUUUAAUCAAAUACCACAAAAGAUUUGUUUUCAAUAAAGAAAUAAUUUGAAAUCAUGUGCAAUUGGGGUUAUUUUGACAUUUUUUUAAAACCGUCUAGUUCACUAUAUACCAAAACCUUUUAAUUCAUUAUAUAUGGGCCGAUUCAUCCAAAUUUAAAAUACUGACUGGUUCAACCCGGUUCAAUUUGAUUCAAUUGCAUUUUCAAUAAAUUAGUUGGAAUGGAAAGGUUCAAAGUCUGAUUUUCAGUUCAAUCGCUUGUAUAAGUCUGAUUUUCAGUUCAAUCGCUUGUAUGUGCCUGAUGCUAGUGGUCCUCUAAAUUGAAUCUAGCCUUGAGCGUAUAUGAUAACAAGACUUCUGUUUAUUAUUAUUCUUUUUGAUAGAAUAACAAGACUUUUGUGAACAGCAUUUCAGUCGUAGUCCAAAUUCUAUACUCCACAAAUUGGCAAUUACUAAUAAAGAAAUCUCAAUAAUUAAAUUGUCAAGGACCACAUGAUAGAUGCAGACAGCUCUUGUCAAAACGUUAAAGACAUUUUCACCCACAAAAGGACACUCGUAAAAUGUAAAGAUAAAGCCAAUAAUUUACUUAUCAAAACUUUAUAGAGACUGCACCAUCAUUUAGGACACAUAAGACAGUUUCAUGAGAAAAAAGUUAUAUCAAUUUGGAUUUUUACAAAAUAAAAGAAAUAGAGACGUUACCAUUAUAAGACACCAAGAACAUGAAAAAAAUAAAUUUGGCAACCACAAAAGAGUACCCCAGCCGUCCCGUCCAGUAAUCGACUUUUCCUUAUGAGAUUUCUAAUUCGAUCAAUUUCUAAGUCACAGAGCACAAGCGCGAGCUGAUGCAAGUGCGGGCGCCCGAAAGCGUCCUAAAGCACGUGUAUAUCUAUAUUACCCUGAAAUUUCUUGAAUAAAUUGCAGUGACCUCCCUCAAAGUAUCUGAUAAUUUCAGAUAGUUUUCCUGUGAUUUUUUAAAUGACUCUAACCUCCUCCUCUGUAAGACUUUGUCCCCCAACAGCGUUAACUGAGUAAGAGGUUUUACCGUUUACCCUCAGUUGAGUUUUAUCUACGGAUUAAUUAUCUUCAUUUAUUUUUUUCUUAAUUCUUUAACCAAACAAUACCCACACAUCAUUUAUUUCCCCACAACCAACUCAUCAUUUAUUGUCUUGGCCACCACCUACGUUCUUCUUUAUUGCGCUAAUGAACUAGAGAAUACAAUCUCUCUCUCUCUCUGCCCACAACCGAACUCCUAACAGGAUACCAUCAAACCCCCAUCACCACCUCCCCUUUUCCAUGCCAUCGCCAUAUGUUAACCCGAUCACCAUUCAAUAGCGUCAUUCUUUGUUAACCCUCUUUUGCGAUUAACCUGCACCACCCGACCCACCACCAUUCGACCUCUAACAAUGGCUUUUUUAGAGUGAGAGUGAGGAUUGUUGUGGUAAAAAUCUGGGGCGAGCAAUCCAAUAGUCAAUAUUGCUCUUAGACCUUGGUGUUGAACCUCGGCAACAAGGUGGGAAAGUAACGGCCGUAGGGAGGCCGCUUAAAACCCCUCCGGCGUGCGAAUCAGACUAAGGCGAUGAUAAACAAG